AUUGAACGCUGGCGGCAUGCCUAACACAUGCAAGUCGAACGGCAGCACGGUCUAGCUUGCUAGAUGGGUGGCGAGUGGCGAACGGGUGAGUAACGCGUAGGAAUAUGCCUUGAAGUGGGGGACAACUUGGGGAAACUCAAGCUAAUACCGCAUAAUUUCUUAGGAAACAAGCUGGGGACCUUAGGGCCUGGCGCUUCAAGAUUAGCCUGCGUACGAUUAGCUAGUUGGUAGGGUAAGAGCCGACCAAGGCGACGAUCGUCAGCUGGUCUGAGAGGAUGGCCAGCCACACUGGAACUGAGACACGGUCCAGACUCCUACGGGAGGCAGCAGUGGGGAAUAUUGGACAAUGGGGGCAACCCUGAUCCAGCAAUGCCGCGUGUGUGAAGAAGGCCUGAGGGUUGUAAAGCACUUUCAGUGGGGAGGGGGAUUGCCAGGUUAAGAGCUAGGUAAUUGGACGUUACCCACAGAAGAAGCACCGGCUAACUCCGUGCCAGCCGCCGCCGUAA
rnacentral:rRNA from 1 species